ACAAAGGCUCUUUUAAGAGCCACCCAAACUUUCAUAAUAAGAGCUGU
rfam:Pelodiscus sinensis unplaced genomic scaffold scaffold49, whole genome shotgun sequence.